UUUUCAUUUACCCGACCCCGUGCAUCUGAUAAAUCCCUAACCCCUUCCCUCCCUUUUUUUCCCCUAAAUCGAAAAUCCACCUCCACCGAUCCACCAUUCCACCUCCGGUCCUCCACGACUCCACCUCCACUCUAACGGUGCUUUUAGCCUUCUACGUCUUCUACCUUUGAAUUUCAAAGGGGGGAUUUAAUUUCUGCUAUUUGACUACUACCUUGGUAGUCACAAGAAUGGUUGAAAGAUGAACUUCUUAGGCAAUUAGUCACUCACUUUUUUAAGCCAUGCCCUUAGCACCAAGACUACUGGCCCUUCCUGCAAGAGCAGAAAGAUCCAUUCUUUACCCCUCCUUCAAGGACAAGAGAUGGGGAUGAACGCUCGCUUAUUCGAUUCGUCCUUUAUCUAAGUUCAUUUGUGAUGAAAUCUUUUCCUACCCUGAGCUCAUUAGAUGGUAAUGUUCAGUGCUACAUGGCCUGCAGAGGUUCAUCGGUUAGCUCAAGAGUACAUGGACCCUAAUCCUGUUAAGGUUGUGAUUGGCUCAGAAGAUUUAGCUGCCAACCAUGACGUUAUGCAGAUAAUUGAAGUCUGAUUUUAUUUAACCGGUUAAAUUGUCUUUCAUAUUAACUUAUUUUGUAUAUAUAUAAAUGUUUUUAUUAACAGUUUGUUUUCUUAUGUAGGUUUUAGAUAAUUGUGCACGUUAUGAGCGAUUGACUACAUUUAAAAUUUCUCUUCAUUAGCUAAAUAGAAUAGGCAGCAUUUAAAAUUUGCACUCUGUAUGUGUGUGUUCUCUAACAUUUUAAUUGGGCCUCAUUUAAAUAAAUAAGUUUGCAGAUCCUUUCAUUCCUUAAAUUUAAA